rnacentral:rRNA from 1 species
UGGGGAAUUUUGGACAAUGGGCGAAAGCCUGAUCCAGCAAUGCCGCGUGUGUGAAGAAGGCCUUCGGGUUGUAAAGCACUUUUGUCCGGAAAGAAAUCCUUGGCUCUAAUACAGUCGGGGGAUGACGGUACCGGAAGAAUAAGCACCGGCUAACUACGUGCCAGCAGCCGCGGUAAUACGUAGGGUGCAAGCGUUAAUCGGAAUUACUGGGCGUAAAGCGUGCGCAGGCGGUUUGCUAAGACCGAUGUGAAAUCCCCGGGCUCAACCUGGGAACUGCAUUGGUGACUGGCAGGCUAGAGUAUGGCAGAGGGGGGUAGAAUUCCACGUGUAGCAGUGAAAUGCGUAGAGAUGUGGAGGAAUACCGAUGGCGAAGGCAGCCCCCUGGGCCAAUACUGACGCUCAUGCACGAAAGCGUGGGGAGCAAACAGGAUUAGAUACCCUGGUAGUCCACGCCCUAAACGAUGUCAACUAGUUGUUGGGGAUUCAUUCCUUAGUAACGUAGCUAACGCGUGAAGUUGACCGCCUGGGGGGUACGGUCGCAAGAUUAAAACUCAAAUGAAUUGACGGGGUCAUA